rnacentral:rRNA from 1 species
CANUGGGGGAACCCUGAAUGCAGCGACGCCGCGUGANCGAAGAAGUAUUUCGGUAUGUAAACUUCUAUCAGCAGGGNAAGAUAAUGACGGUACCUGACUAAGAAGCCCCGGCUAACUACGUGCCAGCAGCCGCGGUAAUACGUAUGGNGCAAGCGUUAUCCGGAUUUACUGGGUGUAAAGGGAGCGUAGACGGCNNNGUAAGUCUGAUGUGAAAGGCCUGGGCUCAACCNNUGGACUGCUUUGGAAACUGUGCUACUUGAGUGUCGGAGAGGUAAGNGGAAUUCCCAGUGUAGCGGUGAAAUGCGUAGAUAUUNGGAGGAACACCAGUGGCGAAGGCGGCUUACUGGACGAUGACUGACGUUGAGGCUCGAAAGCGUGGGGAGCAAACAGGAUUAGAUACCCUGGUAGUCCAAGGGCGAAUUC